UGACCGCUGGCGGCGUGCCUAAUACAUGCAAGUCGAGCGAACGGACGAGAAGCUUGCUUCUCUGAUGUUAGCGGCGGACGGGUGAGUAACACGUGGAUAACCUACCUAUAAGACUGGGAUAACUUCGGGAAACCGUAGCUAAUACCGGAUAAUAUUUUGAACCGCAUGGUUCAAAAGUGAAAGACGGUCUUGCUGUCACUUAUAGAUGGAUCCGCGCUGCAUUAGCUAGUUGGUAAGGUAACGGCUUACCAAGGCAACGAUGCAUAGCCGACCUGAGAGGGUGAUCGGCCACACUGGAACUGAGACACGGUCCAGACUCCUACGGGAGGCAGCAGUAGGGAAUCUUCCGCAAUGGGCGAAAGCCUGACGGAGCAACGCCGCGUGAGUGAUGAAGGUCCUCGGAUCGUAAAACUCUGUUAUUAGGGAAGAACAUAUGUGUAAGUAACUGUGCACAUCUUGACGGUACCUAAUCAGAAAGCCACGGCUAACUACGUG
rnacentral:rRNA from 1 species